CCCCUCCUCCUCCUCCUCCUUCUUCUUCUUCUUCCCCUACAUCUCAUUGAAACUCUCUAGAGCAUUGCCAUGGAACUCCAGCAUCUUUCACUCACUAAGCCCAACUGUUGAUUGGGUGUGUGGGUGGAUGGGUAGGGGGUUGUCUCAGCAGCUUUUGAGCACCAGUGAGUACCUUCCUCAGCAUCAUGUGUCAGCCACAGGCCACCAAGACUCUGGGUGUGGGCUGGGAGCCAGGACAAGAACACGUUGGUACUUCUCAGCUCUGCACUGUCCGGACUCUGCUGAGCAUGUGUAAAAUGCUUUGAGCAUUAGGUGACUGGCUACCUGUAAAGUGAUAAUAACAGGUAAUUAGUUGCUCAGUAAGUGUGUAGUUUACGUGUUUUAAAGGCGUCUUUCCCGUUAUUGUUAUGUAUGGAUGUAGAAGUGUCUCCGUCAUCAUGUACCCAAUUUAUAAAAACUAAUAGACACCUAGCACUCACUGGGUGCCAGGUGUGGUUCUAAGCUCCUUACAAUGAGUAUUGCCUCAUUUAAACCUCCAACAACCCAGUGAGUCAGGGGGCAGUUGCUCCUUCUCUUUCAUAGACAGCAACAAGCAAAGCAAAAUAGAACAGCCAACGAAUAGGGCAAUUAAAUCCAGUUAAGUGGCUGACUUAAGGUCAUACCACUAAAAGUGAGAGUGUCAGGCUUCACACUCAGGAACCCAGAGAGUCUGCAGUUUGACCACUGUGCUUUGCCGAUGCGUGUUAUUCCUGUUUUGCUGGACACUCUUUUUUUUUUCUUUUCCAGGAAAGGUUAAAGUUUUUUACUUAAUGAUCUUCCUGUAAGCAAAGUGCAUAGUUCCGAAGUGUGGAACAUACACAUUUGUACAAACCAGUCCACAAGACCAGACGAAGGGAGGCAGAGAUUCCUGGGUGGCCCUUGCUGUUCCUUUCAUAGUUUGGCUUUUCACCCAUGGCCCAGUUUUCCAUUUUGAGGAAUGGGGUGUCCUGGGCACAUUUUUUUCUGCUUCUGUCAUCUGUGGUUCAGCAGUACAUGUUUGUGUGAUGGCCUGCAUGGUGACAGGAGCUGGAGACUUCUCACUCCCACUGCCUCACGUGGCUCUGCGUGUGGUGUUUACCAUGGGUAGCAUUUGGGACCUUUCUCUAGUGCUGGUGAGUACAUCCCACCCCAUGCCUUUCAGUGAUCAUGGCAGUUGACUGGGACUCGUGCUGCAUUUAGCAUCUGUAGCGAUGGUCUCACCGUUAGUGGGGCAUUGACUAUUAGGGCUGAGAAGUGAAACAGAAGUUGGGCAUUUCUCAAGUGAUUUCUCCUUCUGAUGGGCCAAUGAAAGUAGCACAAGUCACUUAGCCCCAGGAAAAGUCGAAACCACCAGGGGCUUAUCUGUGGGGUCUGCUUAAGUAUCCCACUUUUCUGUCAUUUCAGCAGGCUGUCCUGUUCCUUCCAAGAGAGCUGAGAGCUCAGACUACGAAAUACUGGCUUUUUUUCUAUUUUAUUGGGUUCGUAUAUCUACCACCUUUCUACCCUUUCUAACCCAUCUUCCACCCUAAUCCUUUCCAACUGUCCCCCCAUCCAAUACUAGGUAGGGAAGACAGAAUGUUAGAAAGGAAAGGGGAAGUAGAUAUCUUUAGACUAUUUCCUGCUGGUUAGGGUCAUUGGAUUCCUAGCCCUAGCAGCAAGUCCAAUCUUUGUUGUUAAACUAUCAAGCAGUCCAGCAAUAGCAAACCAGCAAACCCAAUAGCAGGAGCCAGCAGCAGCAGUAGGGGCAGCAUCAGCUGCAGCAUCAGGGGCACACGCCCUUGGGCCUCUCCUAUUUAUCCUCUUCCCAGAGUCCCCGGAAUUAAACUAUCUGCAGCAGGCAAAAACCAUGCCCCCUCCUAGUGCCUGGGACAUACACAGUUAAUGGCUGUGGACAAACUGAAGUAGUCCUAUAUGUCCCAUACCUGGGAUCAAAACACAAGCACAUCCUAUAGUGAAACUGGGUUUUUAAAACACAAAAACAAAAUCCUCAUUACAUCGGGCUCUAUGACAUUGUGAUGGAGCCUUGGAGCUAAGAAACUCAGCUCAAAGCAGAGCUGAAACUGUUCCCUCCUGGCAAAAGCCUAGCCUCUCAAGAGCCAGAGUUCUCUGUGGGAGGCCAUGGGCUCAUCCACUUGGUGACCAAACCCUGAAAGAGCAUUCUGGGUGUGAUGAAUUAUGUGACAGGCCAGCCAGCUCCUGCCCUUUCUCAGCCUCAGGCUCUCCUCCAAACUCUCCAAGGACUGCACAAGAAUGAGCCAAUUUAAAAAGUUAUCUCCAGAACUGGAAAGGCUCAAGUAGGGGUUGAAGGUACUGCAGGUGUCCAGGGAGGGGGUCAUGUGUGCCCCAUUUAUUGACUGAGAAGUAGCCAUCAAGCAAAGUUGGACCCUGGAGUGGGUGAGCCUGCACAGUGUUUUCAUGCUCGCCUGUGGCUGGAUUAGGAGUCUUAUUUUUUUGAGUUAAGGGGGCCGUAGGACAUGCUAUGCUUUCCGGUUAGUCCUGUUGGGAAGCUGAAGAUGGAAAAGAUUCAUCACCUCAUCUGCGGAGAGGGGAGAAGAAAUCGCAUUCUAGAACAUUCCCCAACAGUGAUAGAGGAUUAGGCCUCCUUUUAGCUUUUUGCCUCCUCCUUUGUUUUCUCUCUGCAACUUAAAAGUUCUGAACCUGAUUCCGAAGCAAAUCAGGCCCCAAACAGGGACUGUGCUUUCCAUGGGGUUUUAUAAGGCUUGGAAGUCCUGCAGUGCAAGUGAUUAAUGAGGCUGGGGCUUUCUCCAUUGUGUAAACCAGAGGAAGGAAGGAAGAGCACUUACCAGGAGAGGGUGUUCAUGUGCUGGGCCCUUGCACUUCAAAUCCCCUUGGGAGGGAAGCUGAAUCCUUGAGCCCAGGCCCCAGCUGGAUUGGCUCUGGUGAGCCGGAUGGGGCUAUGACCUGGGUCGGGUCAUCAAGCUGUGACCCUGGGUCAUCUGGGCUGUGCUUUGAUGGUCUGUCACCACAUCAGCCCAGGCCCAGGGAACUACUCUGCUGAUGUCAUCUCCCAGGUCUGCAUCCUUUUCACUAGCGUUUUCAAGAGAGAAGGAAGGCCAACAUAAGAACCCAAAGAUCACGGCUCUCUACAGGCAUUCGUCAACAAGAGAUGAUGGUGGUUAACGAGCGCAGACACAGCCUCGUUGUGUAGUUAUCUGAAGACAGGGGCUGGAUACUUCCCCUUUACGUUUAGAGCUUUAGUUAGAAGAUAUAGAGUGGGAGUUUCAAACAGACAGCUCUGCCUUCCUGUCUGUCUAGGGUUGACUCUGAAUCUAGUUCUACAGGGCUCCUUGGGUAGGGGAGGGAAGACGUCUGAGGCCAUCCAGCCCCUUGUCCUCAGUGGUCACCCACUCAUUGUUGACCUUAUUGGCUUUUGCUUUGCUCCUGGACUUGAUUUCAAGCUUUUUGGGAUUACCCUGCCCCAAGUCCUGAGUAAGCACACUGUACCAAGGCUCUCCUUACAGGAUCUGCCUUCAGGAGCCUGAAUCAGGACAUAGGCUUAAUAGCUCAGAUCUGUUAUAGAGUCUCCAACCCCAACUGGCCACGCUUCAGCCAGUUUAUUUAAAAUCCCAAAGUAACAUCUGUUGUUGCUCUUUGUAGACAGAGUCUCCCACCUCUCUAGCCUGCAUCUUGCUAUGGGGGACCAGGCAGGCCUGCAACUGGUAGCAGUUCUCCUCUGUCUACCUUCUUCAGAACGGCACUUUCUCAGCUCUGAGUAGAUGGGAGGCCACCAUGAGGUAGGAGGGCCUCUGGUAUUUUUCUAAAUUCCUGCUGAGGCGGGACAUGGAAACAUCUAGGGAUCUGCUUUUGAGUGUGAAGAGAGAUUUCCCUGGAGGUUUGCUCUCCACUUACAAAGUCACUUAAGUGGGUGGAGACAUGUGUAUGGUGACUGCAGGCCCUGGCAUGUGAAGACAAGAAAUAUGAGUGCUUCUAACGGUAGGAAGGGAGAGCCUUUUGCUUGUGUCAGGCUAUUUCCAGGGAUAGAGGGCACGUCCCUGAAGCUAUCCUGAUGAACAGUAUCCUCCUCUCCACCUCCCCAAAGGAGUUCUUGCACCUGUUGCAUGAGGCCUAGUGGUUGGAGUCAUGGGGAACAGGAAAAGGCAAAGUGAGCGAAGGGUUCAUAGCCAGGGCUGUGGAGUAGGGCUACCUGAACCCAGGUUCCACCCCUUCCUGUAUGAGUGACAUUUGAGCAGUUCCUUGCCAUCCCUGUGUCUCAGUGCCUGCAUCUGUAGUGUGGGAAACCCUCACAGGUUUAUGCCACUAAAAUGGCAGCUCAUGACAACCAUCCCUAAACAGAGGAGGUGAAUGUUAACUUUCCAUCUUUUCUAACUUUUUUUGGUAUAAUGUGUAUGAAAUAUUCUUAGUGCUAUUAGAAAAUUAAAAGGCAAGUUUUGUUUGCCUUUUUGUUUUUCUUUGAGACAAGCUCUUUCACUAUAAAGUCCAAGCUGAAAAUCAUGACCUUUGUACCCCAACUUCCUGAGUGGAUGAUAGAUGAACUCUACCACAUCCAGCAAAAGAUAGUUUCUGAAAGACCGAUGGACACUGAAUAAGAAGGAGGAGGAAGACAGGGAGGGUAGAAUUUGAAGUUAACCAGCAGCCACUUUGGUGGCAUGUAGCCAAAAGUCUAUCCAAGCCUUCAUUCUCUGUAGCAGUAUCUUGACUGCUCCAGGUCUCAGGAGAACCAUGGAAGACUGCACUGUCAUGGGAAGCAAGGCACUUUCUAACUCCCUAACUGUGGUGGUGGCAGUCAUGUUUAUAUUGCUAGAAUCAGCUACCUGAUAAAAACAGUUUAGAGAUGUGUGUGUGUGUGUGUGUGUGUGUGUGUGUGUGUGUGUGUGUGUGUGUGUGUGUGUGUGUGUGUGUAGGGUACUUUUGAUUAUGGAUUGGGAGUUUGCAACCCAUCUUGGUGAGGAAAUCAUGGUGAUUGGAGCUAAAAGGGGUUGGUCAAUGAUGGUAGGAGCUGGAAUGGGGUUGGUCAAUUGUGAUUGGAGCUGGAGGGGUUUGCUCUGUGAUGCUGUGAGCUGGAGAGGGUUGCUCUAUAGUGGUGUGAGCUGGAGGGGGUUGCUUUAUGGUGGUGUGAGCUGGAGGGGCUUGCUCUAUGGUGGUGGGAAGUGGAGGGAGUUGCUCUGUGGUGGUGGGAGCUGAAGGGGAUUGCUCUGUGGUGGUGGGAACUGGAGGGGGUUGCUCUGUGGUGGUGGGAGCUGAAGGGGAUUGCUCUGUGGUGGUGGGAACUGGAGGGGGUUGCUCUGUGGUGGUGGGAACUGGAGGGGGUUGCUCUGUGGUGGUGGGAGCUGGAGGGGAUUGCUCUGUGGUGGUGGGAACUGGAGGGGGUUGCUCUGUGGUGGUGGGAACUGGAGGGGGUUGCUCUGUGGUGGUGGGAGCUGGAGGGGAUUGCUCUGUGGUGGUGGGAACUGGAGGGGUUGCUCUGUGGUGGUGUGAGCUGGAGGGGGUUGCUCUGUGGUGGUGUGAGCUGGAGGGGGUUGCUCUGUGGUGGUGUGAGCUGGAGGGGCUUGCUCUAUGGUGGUGGGAACUAGCAGUGUGGCUUCUCACAGGUGAUGACUGGGAAACAAAAGGGCUCAGUGGAUUAAAACUCCACUACUGUGCCUUACAUCUUGAAGGUCUUAUAACCUCCCCCAAACAGCACCACCAGCUAUUCAAACAAGUGAGCCCUGGAGACAUCCCAACUGUCACAUUCUCUGAGUGCAGACUGAGGGGGCAGUGAUGGAUGGAUGAGGAAGGGCGCAGCCCGACCAGGAGGAUUCUCGGGAGAGCAGGACUGAGACAAACCCAGGCGACAGGAUCUGAGGAACCCUGAGGCUGCAAACAGACACUCUACAGGGGGCCUCCAUUUCUCCAUUUCUCCUCUAAGGUAGUUCCCCAUGUGGCUUACAAAAGGAGAAACAAAGACAACCAGACUUGGUGGCACAUGCUCACCAGCCCAGCGUGCUGGAGGCUGGAGGAAGAGCCUUGCCUUGUUAUUUAACAUCCGUGUAAGCUAUGUGUGUGAUGAGACCCUGGAGGGAGAGGAGGGGUGAGGGGAGAAAGGAGAGACAGAAUGUGAAUGCGAUGCUCAGUUGGCUCCAUUCCUGGUUUUAGCAGCUCUGAUGGGCUUCUGAGUCUGUGACAGGGAGCCCAAGAUGAGGAAUAUCUCUGCCUGCCAUAUUUACUGCUCCUCGGAACCACAGAAAAAGUAUAUAAAAGAGAAAGGAAGGAAGGAAGGAAGGAAGGAAGGAAAAAGAAAGAGAGAAAGAGAGAAAGAAAGAAAGAAAGAAAGAAAGAGAGAAAGAGAGAAAGAAAGAGAAAGAAAGAAAGAAAGAGGGGGAGGAAGAAAGAGAGAGAAAGAGAGAGAGAGAGAGAGAGAGAGAGGAGAAAGAAAGGGUGAAAGAAAGAAGAAUAAAGAAAUAAAAUACAACAAGAACAAAACUAAAUUGUUUUUGAGGUAGAGUCUUGCUAUGUCUUCCAGGCUGGCCUUGUGACCCUCCUGCCUCAGCCUUGUGAGUGCUGGGACUGGAGGCCUGUGACACCAUGUCCAGCUUAAACCAAACAGUCAGAAAAAUUAUAUUUCUCACUUGGCUUAACCCAAAUACAAACUGAGCUCUACGUGGGCUAGCCUUACCUCAGUGCUGUAUUCAGAAAAAAAUAGUCUAAAAUCAAAACUUUAAUGUGUAUGGUCUCUCAUAGGUCCUAAUUUUUGACUUGGGACUAUUGGGAUGCUCUAAUGUGUAUGCCAUUCAUCUCUAGAGAGAUGCUCCCCCUGCCCCCACCUCUCUUCCUUCUCCCAUUUCCUGUAGCUGCCCCAGGCGCACACUCCUCUCCAGCCUCCACCAGCUUCCUCUUCCUCCUCUUCACAGGUCUCCCUUGAUUGCCCCGCUGCCAGAUGUCCUUGGAAUUUCUGCUCUGGCUGAGGCGCUCACUGGAAAGACUGGAGCCUGUGAGAGAUUUUUGCCCAUAGCCCUUCCUCAUUCUUUACAAAGGGAUUCAUGCAGGGAUCGCAGGCUAAGAGAGCAGUCAUGGGGUGUGGCUGGUGAAAGGCCAGAAUUUGGAACCCCAGGUUCUCAUUUUUGUUCACUCCAUGAUACUCUGGGACAAUUAGGAAAUCAGAUCUCUGCAAGAGGAAAGUCGGAAGAGGCUGUAAAUACAUUUACCUGCUCUGACAGCAGCUAGGUCCAGAAGAGUCAACUUUCCACCCGGAUGUUGCAAUAGGGCCAGGUUUGACUCAAGCCCUGAUGGCCAUCGCGCCAUCGUUCUACACAUGUGAGCUUUGGGACAAGAUUGUCCGCAUUGACAUCUUGGCUCUGUCUCUUAUUUGAAUCUAGAUAAAACAGCUUAACUUCCUCUGGAAAGCAGGCUGAGUAAUAGCACCCACCUUAGAAAAUUCCAGUGUGCGUCAUGAGCACUAACCCGGUGUGAAGUGGUCAGAAGAGCAGUCGUCAACGGCCCCACAAGUGUUCACGGCUCUGCCUAGGUAGAGUUCGAGGUGCGAAUCAAGAUUUAAAACCAGUCCAGUCAGAGUUGGUAAGCACAGCUCUGCCUCCUCCCCCCAGCUAAUGAGGGGCCACUAGGGUUAGGAAUAUUCCUUCUUCCUAUUGCAAGCAGCAUCUUAAAGAUCCAUUUGCAUGCUUACAUGCACAGCAGCGACAUAGCCAAAAACAAAACAAAACAAAACAAAACAAAAAAAAACAAAAACAAAAACAACAACAAAAAAAACCGUCUGAGCCACCCAAAGGGACUAGAUAAACAGAACAGGCAGAUGCUGUCACACGCCACAGCUUAGCUAGACCUGAGGACACAAAACCCCUGCAUUGUGCCGUUCCACUUAUGUGGGGCAUUUAUUGUCUUUACAGCCACAGAUACAGAAAGCAGCCAGUCGGUGGCCUUCGAGUUUGGGGUUUGCACAGUGGAAAGCGUUCUGGGUGGUGACUGAAGGCUCACUCAGCAAGGCAAGAAAAUGGAGGUUCAGAGGUCAGGCGACUUGCCUAGGAUCACACAGUUGCUAAGUGGCUCAGCUAGAAUUUACUCACAGGACUGCAUGGAAGGUGAACCUCUAAACCGCGGUGCUGUGGAUUUUCUCUGAAGCUGUCAGGAUGUACAUCCUUAGCCCCCGAGGAGACAUCUUACUCAACUCUGAAGAAUUUCUGGGCAGUUCGGAGCCAGCCUCUGUGCACGCCUGGAGCAGAGCCUGAAUAUGCAGCCCUGGGCAGAUUAGAUCACCUCCUGAGCCUCACUUUUCCUAUCUGCCAAGUGGGGCAAUAAAUGUCUGCUGGGUAGGCCUGUUAUUCAGAUGCAGGGGACCAUGUGGAGUAGCACAUGGCCUGGCAAGCAGAAACUUUUUAAUACAGCUCUAUUUCUCUUUAGAGUUGAAAUUCACAUAAAACUCCAUACCGCUUCACCCCACUCCAGCUCCCAAUUCAGCGUGGUGCAAUACCUUCACAGUGUUGUACAACCAUCUGCUCUGUAUAGUUUCCAGACAUUUUUAUGACUCUUAAAGUAAACCUAGGAGUCGUGAAGCAACUACUUCUCAGCCCUCAUCCCCACCACACCCAUGGAAACUGAUCUGCCUGCUGUUAUAAGGAUGUCCCUACCUUAGAUAGUUGGAAUAAAACGCCUCAUAACUUGAUCUUUUGUGUCUGGCUUCCUUCAUUUGACGUGGUGCACACUGGUCCAUCCUUGUUGCUGUAUACAGUAAAGCCAGGUUCUUCUCUAUGGUGACAAUGUACUAUUGGCUGGAUAUAAUUAAAGAUCUUAAGAAGAACACUUGUUGCCUUUGCAAAGGACCUGGGUUCAGCUUCCAGCACCCGCAUAGUAAUCCACAACAGCAUGUUAACUCUUGUUCCAGGGCCUCUGGUACCCUCUUUUUGCCUCCAUGGGCACACACAUCCAGGCAAAAUACACACACAUCAGAUAAAAAUAAAUAAUUUUUAAAAAAGAAUCAGCCUACUCAUGGGUGCUUGUGUCAUUCUCAGGAUUUGUGUGCCAUGAAGAAUUCCAUUAUGAGCCUUUGUAUAAUCAUUUUUCUGUUGUCGGGAGGCAUCUGCAGGAGUGGAGUCACCGAGCUGUGUGGUAAUAUUGUGUUGAACUUAUUGAGCUAAUUGUAAUUGUAGUUCGUAGCAUUUUGCGCUCACACUAGUGUCUGUUGCUUCCGGUUUCUCUUCCUUCACUGCCUCCUGGCUUUGGGGCUGUGCAGUCAAGCAGGAA